GGAAGACACAUGUGUGAAGUUUACAAAGAGCAUGCAGGGUUAAAACCAUGAGCCCUGAUGAUCAUUACCUCACUGCACGGCUGAGAGCAUGGCAGCUCUGAUCACCUUUGCAGUGAAUGUUUUGUCCAGUGCUUCAUCUCUGAGCUGCCUUGCUUGGCACUGCUCCUCCUCCAUGUGUGAAUAUCUCUGAAGUUACAGGCAGCAGCGUCAGGGGUAAGAACUGAAUUGGCGUCUCCUGUGUUCCUGGGUGGGAACGUUGUGCUGUUCCUUUCUGGGCUGUGCUUGGGUCACUACGUUCAAUCAGCAGACACAUAGAAGACUCACCCACGCUCAGAAGAGCACAUUGUGUGCAUGAUGACUGUUGAAAAGGGAUGACAUGUAACAACUCUACCGCUCCAUUUAAAGGAACCGCUGACCCCUAGUGGCCGCUCCGCAUAGCAUAGCUGCCUGAAGAGCCAAAACAUCACUGUAGUGACCUCUGUUAAAGUCACACGGGGAGGGGAGACUGCAUUUGUAAGGCUGCAGCCUCUAGUCCAGUCUUUAUACUUAGUGCCUUUCAAGUUACAUCAGUUUUAUAAGUACCCCCGUGUCUAUAAACUAAAUAGCGGGAGGGUAAAGAAUUCUGUUAUAGCUAGUCACUGCAGGUUCCAUCUAGUCCUUACUAUAGAGAAAGUUAUUUGUUCAGACUAAGGGUCUGAGUUUUUCACUUUAAUUUAUAGAUUAUCUAUUAUGUUGCUAUAUAUAGUGAUUCCACCGUUGCUUUUAGUUUUUUCUUGCCAUGGCAGUAAAAUUAAACACUUUAUCCCAAUCAUGGGGCCUUGUAUUGAGGCUCCCCAAGUAACUCCUGAGAUGUGGUUGGAUAGGGAUGGUCCACCUCUGGCAGCAUCUUGCCUGCCCGCCUGGUAGAUAGUGCUCUGCCCUCCCAUGCCCUCAGACUCCUCUGUCCUCCCCUUGAUAAGGCCCGGGUCGUGUUGUUCCAGUUUCAUCCAUUAAAUGGUGCACUGUCAGGCAGAGUGUAAUAAAUCUCCAGCAUCUGUGACCUGCCCGGAGACUACUUCUUUCUUCUCACCCCAAGUCCAUGUUCACUGCUAGUUCCUGUAGGAGAGACAGCUAAGUUUACAGUGUUGGAGAACUCUGCUCAGAGGGUCACCUUUUAUCUAGAAACAUAAUUUGGUUUGAUAGACCAUAGCUUUUAGUUUUAAGAGAAUCAAUAUCACUUUCAUUUUCUUCCUUGGUAUUCCCUUAAUGUUCUAUCAUGAACAGCUGGUUUCAUGUGCAGCAAAAGCUUUAGCUGUACACAGUAGUACACACCUGCAAUCCCAGCACUCUGCAGCCAGCCUGUCUCAGUGCAGUACCUAGAAAUCAAAGUCGAUAAGUUUAUAGUGACAGAUUGUUCAGGAAGAUGAGCUCCUGGCCUGCACUAAGUUCUGCUAGAUUCACUGUUCUUCCUGGAAGUCUGAUUUACUCUUGGUUUUUAUUUUACAACUUCUUUUUAUAAUUACUUGUUUGUUUAGUGUGUAUGUGUGUGUGUUUGCACGCACAUGUAUGCACACAAGAGCACCUGUACCACAGAGUAUGUGGAUCACAGGACAACUUGCAGAAGUCAUUUCUCUCCUUCUGCCAUGUGGGCCUUGGAAAUUGGACUCUGGCUCUGAGGUAUGGUGGCUACUGAGCCAUCUUGCUGAUGCUUUUGUUGUCUUUGUAGCCCAGGAUGAUCUCAAACUCACAGCAGUCCUCCUGCUUCAGCCUCCUGAAUGCUAAAAAGAUAGUUGUGGGCCAACUUUCAUGGCUGCUUUUACAAUGUCUUGUCAAGUUGGAGCAGAUGCACUACACACGCAAACUGAGUUUAUUCUGACAUAAAUCUAUGUUUGUAUGACAUGUGCUGGGUAUACUUACUGAAACUGUAAAUAGAACGUCUGGGUUGAUUUCUGACAAAUUAAAGUAUGUCGAUUGUCACAGUUUUAGACGUAGAGGAAAUGGGAUGGCUUAGAAGCUUGGAUUCCUAUGAAGACAGAGACAUGCCCAUUACUCAGAAGAGAGCUGUGUGGGCUUUGUUUCUGGUGCCCAUUCACUUGUGCUCUGGCCCGUACACCCGCUGACCCCAUUUUCAUUAGAAGGCUUUCUCUGUGUAUGUUUCCUUUUCCUGUGAUGACCUGUAGCUGAUUUUGAUUCCGAGUGGAGAUAUGUGCUCUUUCCAGGUCUUUCCCAGAUUUAUGCCUGCCACCUUUUUUUGUUUUUGUUUUUGUUUUUGUUUUCGAGACAGGGUUUCUCUGUGUAGCCCUGGGUGUCCUGGAACUCUGUAGACCAGGCUGGCCUUGAACAUAGAAAUCUGCCUGCCUCUGCCUCCCGAGUGCUGGGAUUAAAGGCGUGUGCCACCACUGCCCGGCUUGCCUGUCACUUCUUCGUGGCAAUGUUUUAUCUUCACUUACAUUAUUUUUCUCCUUUUAAAUUAGUUACAUCAAAAAAACAUAAAGCAGAAACAUAUUUGAGAAAGAUAUUUAAAAAUACUUAGAUUUGAAUGUCUCCUCUUUUAAGUAAGAAUUUGCAGUCCUUUUUAACAUUUAAAACAUUAAGUACACAGUUUGGAAAGAUCAUGUUCCUUUGAGUGAUUUGUUAUGCUGUUUGAUCAGUACAAGAAACAGCAAUAGAUGAUACAUCUGUAGUUUUAUAUAGCCUCUCC
rnacentral:lncRNA from 1 species